rnacentral:lncRNA from 1 species
UUGUAGCCCUCGAAGAGAAGAAGAGAAUGGUACCUCACACGAUGUCUGAAUCGUCGUGGUUUGGCCGGAAAAUACCUCGAAAGUCACUGAGGUCGCCGGAAACUGGGUAAGAUUCAAAUGAGUAUAACUUUUUCAAUACUCAACGAAAUUGAGUGAAACAAAAAGGAAAGUUGUACUACUCGACGAGACGAAGAGAUUGAUACCUUGAACGCCGGCCAACUCGCCGUGG